rnacentral:ncRNA from 1 species
GAUAACUGGCUUGUGACAGCCAAGCAUUCAUAAUGAUGUUGCUUUCUGAUCCUUUGAUGUCGGCUCUUCCUAUCAGCGAUAAGCAGAAUUCACCAAACGUUUGAUUGUUCACCCACUAACAGGGAACGUGAGCUGGGCUUAGACCGUUGUGAGACAGGUU